GGGUGGGGCCAGAUAAGAGAAUAAAAGCAGGCUGCCCCCCAAGCCAGUAGUAGCAAAGCGCUCUGGGUUGGUUUCUCAUCCUGGAAUCUUUGUUCUUUUGCAAUAGGUCUUGCUGUUGCUCAGUGUUUGGGUGUACGUUAGUUUUGGAGCUGUGACACUCAUCGCGAAGACUUGCAGCUUUACUUCUGAAGCCAGUGAGACCAUAAACCCACCAGGAGGAGUGAAGGCUGUCUUGCUUUAAGUAGUCGUAACGGCUGUGACGGUGUUGUGAAAGUCUGUAGCCUCACUCGUGAGCUAGCGAGAACAUAAAUCAACUAGGAGGAAGAAACUCCGAAUAUAUCCGAACAUCAGGAGGUAACAGACUCUGGAUACGCUGCCUUUAAAAACUGUAACGCUUGCUGAACGGGUUUGCGGCUUCAUUGUUGAAGUUAGUGAGACCAAGAACCCACCAAUUCCGGACACAAAAUCUGUUUGCUCCUUUAGAGGCAUACUACGGGGUUACAUUAGAAUUCCACCGAGAUAAUCCAAUACAAUCUUCUCCUCUCAAAAUCCUUCACUUAAUGACAUCUUUGACCACUUAAAAUAAUAUUCACAGGUGUCUGACUUUCAAGGUGAGAGAACUAAGCUGUGUGACUCCAAAAGAGCAGAAACCAGGAACUGGAGAAUGGAGGACCAAAGAUCAGAGAACAAACAGGGUGAAGAAGGAUGUGUUUGCUCCCCCUUCCACCAUGAUUGUAAGUUUCCUGAGGCCUCCCCACCCAUGAUGAACUGUGAGUCAAUUAAACCUCUUUCCUUUAUAAAUUACCCAGUCUUGGAUAUGUCUUUAUUAGCAGCAUGAGAACAGACUAAUACAACCUCUUUACAAAUAUACCUGUUAAAUUUAGUAGUAUUGAUAAAAUAGAAUUUUACCUAGUGGUUGAAUUUCAAGCUCACUCUUUUUGUCUUUACUGUGUGUAUUGGUAUUCACAGGAGGGUGUAAAUAUCUCCCCAAAACACCUCUUGUUUCCUUAUUGAGUUACAGAAACUUCUUUUACUACUAAUCUUUCUUUGUCAUAUUCAUACUUCUAGAUUUUUGGUUCUCACACCUCAAAUUUCAGUAUGACAUUACUUUAUCAGCCAUAACCACCAGCCAAAUUAUUGGUGUUUGAAAGCCAAACUCCAUACACAAAAUUAAAUCUUAUUCUUUUAUACCAUUUCUAUGGCAAAUGUUUACUUCCAACAUCUUCAUUUAUCUUGCACAUUCAAGACCUUCAAUGAAAAAGAAAAAAGAAAGAAAUGUAACCACCACCUGUGAUCCACUAACUUCUUUAGUUUCCUAACAGGGGCAUCAGAGUUGUUGAAGAUAUAGUCCACAUUACUUCUAAUGGCCAAGUUAUUCCAUCUGAGUCUCUAUUGGCUUUCCAUUAAGUCUCAGAUACACCCCCCAACCUCUGUUGAACUGACACAGAUCUACAUUUGGUUGCCUCCAGACCUAUUAGCGAACACCAGAGACCUUAUUUCUUCUUGUGGAGGUCUGAAGGGGAUUUCUCAAAUCUGCUAGUGCCAAAGAAUCUUUAAGUUUCUCCAGAAACUUAGGUGUUACUCUCUUUCUGAAUAUCUGAAAUAACCCACUAUGGGGCAAAGUUUCCUUCUAUCUUAUACCUAUACCUCGAAGCAUGAAUUCUCAGUGGAGGUAACAUUGCCUCCAAGAGGGAAAAAAAAUUGUUCUUGGUGGGGAGGGAAGAAUAGGGGGAAAAAACUUAGAUUUUUAAGUUUGGGAAUCCUCCAAAGCUCAACCCUAUCUGAAAACAUCUUAUUCCUUAGUAUUUAAUUUCUCUUGUUGGAGAAAAAUUGCAUUUAAUUUUAAACUUAAAUAAUUCAUUGAUUUAAUUUUUCUCCUUUAGGGGAAAUAAUAAUCUUUUUUAGGUGGAGAAACACUGCCCCAAAGGAUAAAGAGUACUUUCUUCUUGCCUUUCACCUCCUUGAUACAUUUAAUAGAAUUUUUCACUUCGCUUAUGAAGUUUUCUUCCUGGCUUUCUUCAUGUGUUAGUCCUUUCAUCUUACUUAGACACUUUUUGACAACUAGAAGUGUGGAUUCUAGUUGUAAACAAUAAAAAUUAAUCUUAGUGGAUUUGACCAACAAAAAAUUUUAUUUAUAGAUUAUUGUGAUAUUAAGAAAUUUUCCAAAUUACAUCAAAAAAAGUUUAAAAAGCUAGAAAGAAUGAUUUGAUAAAGAAGACAAAGC